rnacentral:rRNA from 1 species
UACGUAGGGGGCAAGCGUUGUCCGGAAUCAUUGGGCGUAAAGCGCGCGUAGGCGGCCAGAUUAGUCCGGUGUGAAAGUCAGAGGCUCAACCUUUGAAUGCCGCUGGAAACUGUCUGGCUUGAGUCCGGAAGGGGCGAGUGGAAUUCCUGGUGUAGCGGUGAAAUGCGCAGAUAUCAGGAGGAACACCAAUUGCGAAGGCAGCUCGCUGGGACGUUACUGACGCUGAGACGCGAAAGCGUGGGGAGCAAACAGG